AAGGCCUUUCUUUGGUAAUUCAUCAUAAGUAUAAACUAAAUCUCUGUAUAAAUGAGAACAGUAUCGAUAUUUAGUUUAGUUAUUUAGAAACAUGCACCUAUACAUGCAGAACCGGUCCUAGACAUUUUUGGGCCACAAGCCCAAAAUAAAUAAAAAUGGCUGGAAAAAAAAUUAACACAAGGGGCCUCGAACCCAGCCUUACCUUAGAGAAGAAGAGCACAUUUGACCACUACACCACAGAAAGUUUUCAGGAAAAAGUGGACGCUAAAAUAUUUAUUAUGUUGGUGGCCGGAAGCACAUGCUUCACCUGCUUGGGCCGAGAGCCGGCUCUGUAUACGUACCAUUUCAUUAACUAGCGCAGUACCUGAAAAAAGGUGCGUCAUCUUGUGAAAGACUAAUUCUUGGGUAUAGGUUCACCUAUAGGUCACCGGCCAUUAAUAAGUAUUAAUAAGUUGCCAAUUCAUAUUCAGUAUUUGAAAAAAAUAGAAAGGUAAAAAAUAAUUAGAAAUAAUAUUAUCAACUGAAAAACAAUAAGAAAACAAAAAAAAACAGAACACUACGGCUUGUAAACCUUGUUUUGUGACUAAGAAGAAGAAGAAGCUACAAAGUCGUUAACAUAAUUAACCAUAUAGUUGUUAGAUUUUCUAACAUAAUUGAGGUGGCAAACAUCAAAGUUGUUUAACGCCGUGGUAGAUCAUUCUUAGGGUUAAUCGGUUACAGAGAAGAUAGAUUACAUAGAAGAGACGAAGCUGUGUUAGUGAUUUUCGAGUCUCCUAAUCCUUGCUUUCAAACCCAAUUUUGAAUAAACCUCCGUCCAAUGUACUUGUAACCCUAACAAUCUAUUUCUUUUUUUUGGUCAACUAACCCUAACAAUUUAUAUAUAAG
rnacentral:lncRNA from 1 species